AUUGAACGCUGGCGGCAGGCCUAACACAUGCAAGUCGAACGAGCGGCGGACGGGUGAGUAAUGUCUGGGAAACUGCCUGAUGGAGGGGGAUAACUACUGGAAACGGUAGCUAAUACCGCAUACCAUCAGAUGUGCCCAGAUGGGAUUAGCUAGUAGGUGGGGUAACGGCUCACCAAGGCGACGAUCCCUAGCUGGUCUGAGAGGAUGACCGGCCAAAGUGGACCUGAGCAACGGCCCAGACUCCUACGGGAGGCAGCAGUGGGGAACAUUGCAAAAUGGGGGAAAGCCUGAUGCAGCCAGGCCGCGUGUGUGAAGAAGGCCUUCGGGUUGUAAAGUACUUUCAGCGAGGAGGCGUUACCCGCAGAAGAAGCACCGGCUAACUCCGUGCCAGCAGCCGCGGUAAUAC
rnacentral:rRNA from 1 species